UACGGAGGGUGCAAGCGUUAUCCGGAUUCACUGGGUUUAAAGGGUGCGUAGGUGGUCUGUUAAGUCAGCGGUGAAAGCCUGGAGCUCAACUCCAGAAUUGCCAUUGAUACUGACGGACUUGAAUCAAGUUGAGGUGGAUGGAAUAUUACAUGUAGCGGUGAAAUGCUCAGAUAUGUAAUAGAACACCAAUUGCGAAGGCAGUUCACUAAGCCUGCAUUGACACUGAGGCACGAAAGCGUGGGGAUCAAACAGG
rnacentral:rRNA from 1 species